rnacentral:misc_RNA from 1 species
AACCAUAGAAACCUGCGGAGUACCUGCGGAAGGAUCAUUACCGAGUUUACAACUCCCAAACCCCUGUGAACAUACCAAUUGUUGCCUCGGCGGAUCAGCCCGCUCCCGGUAAAACGGGACGGCCCGCCAGAGGACCCCUAAACUCUGUUUCUAUAUGUAACUUCUGAGUAAAACCAUAAAUAAAUCAAAACUUUCAACAACGGAUCU